GACGAACGCUGGCGGCGUGCCUAAUACAUGCAAGUCGAGCGUAUCCCAGGGAGCUUACUCCCAAAGGUUAGCGGCGGACGGGUGAGUAACACGUGGGCAACCUGCCUCUAAGACUGGGAUAACUUCGGGAAACCUGAGCUAAUACCGGAUAAUACUUUUCUACUCUUGUAGGGAUCCUGAAAGACGGUUUCGGCUGUCACUUAUAGAUGGGCCCGCGGCGCAUUAGAUAGUUGGUGGGGUAACGGCUCACCAAGGCGACGAUGCGUAGCCGACCUGAGAGGGUGAUCGACCACACUGGGACUGAGACACGGCCCAGACUCCUACGGGAGGCAGCAGUAGGGAAUCUUCCGCAAUGGACGAAAGUCUGACGGAGCAACGCCGCGUGAGUGAAGAAGGUUUUCGGAUCGUAAAACUCUGUUGUUAGGGAAGAACAAGUACCAGAGUAACUGCUGGUACCUUGACGGUACCUAACCAGAAAGCCACGGCUAACUACGUGCCAGCCGCCGCAGUAA
rnacentral:rRNA from 1 species